CAUCCCGGGAACCUGGCUGUGUGAGAGCGCGGAGUGGCUCUCGCCAUUCCCGUGCCAGCUGUCCCCUCGCCAUCUCGGAGAAGGCCACCAGGCUGGCGCCUCCGACUCCUGCUCUGUUGACCAGGGGCCGCUUUUGUAGGCGGAGGAGGUUGCCCAGGAGUCCCUGGAGCUGUGGGCUCCUGCGGUCCCAGCGGAGGAGUGGGACAAUGAAGCCUCCUGAGAAGAUGCAGGCUGAUGGUUUCGGGUCCAGCAACACCCAUUCUGGUCUUUCCACUGAAGAGCGCUGCUUGGUGAGGGCUGCUGUGAAGGAGACGUUUGUCUGAGUGUUAACAUCUGAUGAAAAUGGUCCUUCCUAUGGAUUUGGGGCUGCACGUGGGAAAUCCCAGAGCCAGAUGGCUGAGAGGUGCCGUCUGUCUCCCUGCGGAGCGGGGUGCCGGCGGGAUGAGGCUCCAGCUGCACGGUUCCUCAUGACUCGGGGAACUGGGAAGAUGCUGUUUAGCUUUACACCACGGUAAGUGCCGUGACACGGGCGUUUUACUGACUGAUGUAAAAUAGUUUGGGAAUCCUGCCCAGAAUGAUAAGCCAUUGCCAGAACGAUCCUUUCUGGGGGGAAUUGCCGGCAAAGGAAAGUGUCAAGCUGAUAUUUAUCUCCAGAAAAAUGCUACUGUAUAAACUUUUUAAAAGCUAACUUUUAAUUUUGUAAAGCUGUCCCCUCAAAUCAAUUUUAUUCUAAUUCUUGAGAGGAGAGAACCUUUUAGAUCUAAUGGAAAAUGUUAAUAAACCUUCAUGUUGCGGGUUGGUUUUUUCCUAAUUCAGUAAUAGCUGUCAGCACCUUUCUUUCCCUGCUUUCACCUUAACAAGUUAAUACGCUGCACUGCCUCCAGCCUGCGCUGCGAUUAUUAAUUAACGGACCCUUCAGAAUGGAUUUUUGUUCUUCUGUCAGUGCAGUGGGAACAGCCAUUCACGUUCCGUACGGUCUGGUGGAUGUCUUCGGGUGAGACCUUCUCCAGGGACCGCUCUACCUUUUCCGUCCAGCUGUUCCCGUAGCAGCAGCAAAUGGCAGUUGAACGCUGCCCGCCACUCGUGGGUGUUGCGUGCUGCUCCUCAGAUGCUCUUGCUGGAGCCGGCCCCCAGCACCCCGUGGCCAUCCCAUGCAUCCGGGUGAGAAGAACAAGGGUGGAAGGAAACCCCAGGGAUGACGCGUCUCCUCUGCUGUCCAGAACACGCUCAGCUGCCCCCACGUCAUCCUGAGUGACAGAAACCUGCUGAAACCUGGCCUCAAAUCCUGCCAGCACAGUGGACCUCUGUCUACA